rnacentral:pre_miRNA from 1 species
AAAGUACUCCCUCCGUCCCAAAAUUCUUUUCUUACAUUUGUCUAGAUACGGAUGUAUCAAGUCACAUUUUAGUAUUAGAUACAUCCGUAUCUAGAUAAAUCUAAGACAAGAAAUUUGGGAUAGAGGGAGUAGUUG